UCCCGCGCACAAGAAACCCUUUUCCCUCUCUAUUCAGCUUCUCUCAUUUGCAUCGAAAACAUCCUUUUCAUCUCCUCCCUCUUCUCUCAUCUGCCUCUCUUCUGCCCCUCCCUCUUCUCAUCUCCUCCGUCUCCUGUCUCUGUUGCCCCCUCCCUCUUUUUCGAGAUGCUUCUUCUCACUCUUUUCAAAUUCUGAGAAAAAAAUUGCAGAGAUUGAAACGUCGACAAAAGAAAGGUUGCUUCCUGAACUCUACUAUAUCUUUAUGUUCUUCUAACGGAUGGUGCCAUAGCCAUGCUUUCUAAUGGGGAGGCGCAAGGAGCUGACUUGAAACCCAUUCUUUAAGUUGUCGAUAUUAUGUUAGUGAACACCCAGCAGCGAAGCAACAGCGAGCGGUAGAUACUGCUCUCGGAUGCGACGCAUCUGCAACAAGGAAUGCUUUUAACCCAGAUGAAUAGUUUGGUUAAAUCGGGGAAACUGCAGAAAGGCUCGGUAGUUCGGCUUACCCAGUUUGUCUGCAAUGUCAUCCAGGGCCGAAUGUGAGAUCAGAAUCCUUUCUUUUCUCACUAGUGUUUAACUUUAUGAAAGUCCAUUAAGUUAGAUUUUUUCAUCUUUUUAUAUAAUUGUUUUGUUGCUUUGUUUUCCUGCAACUUGCUCCAAUCAUUUCUUGUUGUUAGCAUGCACCCUUGGUUGUUAAAUAAUGGAGAAAAGGGAAGAAAAAAAAAAUCAAAUGCUCAGGCUUGUUUAUACUUCUUUUCAAAGCAGAAAAAUACCUUUGAUUUGGAAUUUCUGAGGACAAGAAUGAAUAAAAGGUUCGGUUCCAUUUUCCAGUGGAUCUCAGUAAAGCUUAGGGUGUUACUAGUUUGGGACUCCACUGAAUUUCCCCUUGUUAGGUACAUGAACAAAUUCAAGAUAUGACGACAUAACUAGAACUUUGGGUGACUCUGGUCUUAUUUCUGACUUCUUGAUUUGAUUGGCUCCAUGUGUGACAUCUUCCUUCUUAGUCUUACCGCAAGGUGGUUAACCAUUACCUAUGACAGGUAUUCAGUGAGGCUUUAUUGCUGCUUGUCGUACUUUGUAAGUCUCAACCUUGUAAUGAGAACCACCAAAUCAACCUGCGAGCUGUGCACUUCACAUUUUCUUUUGGAUUGUGAACCUUCCUAGCUUUUAUGCAUAUCUUUUGAGCCUUGAUUCAAGGUUGGUGUCAUCUAGUUUUUAUUUUCAUUGAGGGUAGAUGUCUGAAAAGGAGAAGAAUUCAGACAUUCUGAAGUCAAUUGGGGACAUCUAAUAAACAUUUCUGUUUAUGUCUUCCAAAAAUAGCCUUAUUGAUGUUAAUAUCUGAGAUGGUUCAAAGAUAUCACGUGAUUGUCUUUGGUAUGAGAAAGAGACACUGUAUUUUAGUUUCUUUGUUGUAUUUUAGUAUUUCUUGGUCUCCAACUGGUUCUUCUUUAUGUGGUCCAAGUGUUUGCUCCCCUGUCUAUAGAAAAACUAAUCUGUGAGAUGAAAUGGACCCUGUAAUGUUUACAGUUCAGAACUAAUCCAAAUACUAAAUUACUAGGUAUAACCAAAACCUAGUACAACUGUACAAGUAGGAAGAAGAAAACUGAUUUAUCAGUAGUUGGAUAGGUUGUACACCUCACUUGCGUUCUCAUUCUCAGGAAUAUGACAUUAACUGGUUUCCAAUUCGAGGGAAGCCUUGACUUACGGUUACCAUUUGUCUCUUUGGCAAUCAUAGGAUGGAAUUCUUUGUUCUCAACUCUUUUUCAUUUUUGUUGGUCUUCUCAUCAUUUUUUCAUUUUCCUUUUCCCUUUUACCCUAAUAUAAGUUUCAAUUAUCCAAAGAAGGCCCCUUCAUUUGAAAUUAGAACUUUAACCAAGAAGAUGAUAGAGUAAUGGAAAGCUGAAGUUUGGUGUUUUCCUUUGUUGCAUGCUGCUGGAUCAAUUUAAGUAGAGAUGCAUUCAAGGAAUCAAUGUUAGCCAAAAAGUGACUGUAAGGAUGUUCUUUGAACAUAUUGGAGAAAGGUAGUUCUAAUGGUGAGUAAAUUACAUAAUUUUUGAAGUUGUUUCACA